AAUAAUUUCUUUGGUAGACGGGGUCGGUGCUGCUGAGAAUUGCUGGCAACAUGGCAAAGAGGCUGGAAAACCAGGGAUAAAAGGGAUAUUCUCCGGGAAUUUGGAGCUGGAGCCUGCUCUGGGAAGCAGCAGAGAGCACAAACACAGGAAGGCCAAGUGUUUGGGCAGAGGACACUCCAGGCUGUGCCAUCCUCUUUCAGAGCUUCAUUUCCAUAAUUCAGAGCUUGUCUUCACUCUCCUGAGGAAAACCAGGAGAUUUGGCAAACGGACACAACCCUGCAGAGGAAUUCAGAAGGAGAAUCUCCUUGUUUUGUGCUAUUCCCAGAAGAAUUUGGUUUGUGCAAACUGCACAAAGUACAAGAGGGCAGGAGAAGGUGUAUUCAGCUCCAAGCGAGGACAGGAGAAAACAUGGUGCAGGAUCUUCAGCCCGGCGCUUGCUUUUGGACAACUGUCUGCUGGAGAGGCCCGUGCCACCAAACCUGGUUUUGAAGCAAUUUUCCAUCAGCUGUUCCAGGAGUGGCUGCCAUGCUGUGUGGAGGCUGCAGUCCAUGCUCCUGGGCUGCUGGAAAGCAGUGCUGGCAGGCUGAGUGUGGCUGGACAAGGCCACAUGGGAAUUUGGAAGGCCUUAUGUGAAUAAUUUGCUAACCAAAAAAGAGUAGCUCC